rnacentral:rRNA from 1 species
UACGUAGGGCGCAAGCGUUGUCCGGAAUUAUUGGGCGUAAAGAGCUCGUAGGCGGCCUGUUACGUCUGCUGUGAAAUCCCGGGGCUUAACCCCGGGCGUGCAGUGGAUACGGGCAGGCUGGAGGCAGGCAGGGGAGAACGGAAUUCCCGGUGUAGCGGUGAAAUGCGCAGAUAUCGGGAGGAACACCGGUGGCGAAGGCGGUUCUCUGGGCCUGUACUGACGCUCAGGCACGAAAGCGUGGGGAGCGAACAGG